CCUACGGGGGGCUGCAGUGGGGAAUAUUGGACAAUGGGGGCAACCCUGAUCCAGCCAUGCCGCGUGUGUGAAGAAGGCCCUCGGGUUGUAAAGCACUUUCAGUGAGUAAGAACGCCUGGUGGUUAAUACCCAUCAGGAAAGACAUCACUCACAGAAGAAGCACCGGCUAACUCCGUGCCAGCAGCCGCGGUAAUACGGAGGGUGCGAGCGUUAAUCGGAAUUACUGGGCGUAAAGCGCGCGUAGGUGGCUUGAUAAGCCGGUUGUGAAAGCCCCGGGCUCAACCUGGGAACGGCAUCCGGAACUGUCAAGCUAGAGUGCAGGAGAGGAAGGUAGAAUUCCCGGUGUAGCGGUGAAAUGCGUAGAGAUCGGGAGGAAUACCAGUGGCGAAGGCGGCCUUCUGGACUGACACUGACACUGAGGUGCGAAAGCGUGGGUAGCAAACAGGAUUAGAUACCCCUGUAGUC
rnacentral:rRNA from 1 species